UAUAUGAGCGGCGCCGGUCCGCAGCGCACGCACAAGGCUGAUGGGUCUGCGGGCCGAGCGUGCCUGAAAGUCAUCCAGCUGAAGCCCAGCUGCAGCUUGAAGUCAGCCGUCUGACGAGCCAGUGAGCAGCGCUGACUGGGACUGCUUCCAGUCUGCGAACAAGCCUGGUCCAAGAAGGAGCUGCCAAGCUUUGCAGGAAGCCUUUCACAGGCCGCCACUGCCAUUUAUCUACUUUCCAAUGAAUCCGUAGAUUUUUCACGGGGGCUACGCCACUACACUGUGAGCGUUGUUCUUGCAGUGGGACACCCUCCGGAGCGUAUUUCACAGGCUGUACACCAAACCCAGCAUCAAAGUCAGCAUCCAGUAACACUUGUUUGUGUGUGAAAGCAGCCUGAAGAACACCAAACACUUCCUCGGAUCUCAGCUGAAUCCUCAUCGUGUGGUCCAUCAACGUUUUUCAGCCUUUGACGCCUUUGUCCUGACACUUCCUUGGCUCUUCUUGACUUUUUUUAUUCCGCUUGCAGUCAAGUGUCAUUACUGCACUCAGGAAAUCACAACACAUCAAAAGAGGGUCGGACUUAAAGUUUUAAUUAGCAAGACCACAGAAAGACAGGUAGUUGUUUCAAAUUUCUAAAACUCUUUGGGGUUUCAAUAGAGGUCAUGUGAUCAAAGUGUUUCAAAAGAAUGCAAUCAAGGAAGAAAAAAAGUCCAUGUGAGACCGGAUCAUUGUGGUGAAGAACUCUUCAAACACUGAUACGGUUUUCCCCAAAAGCCUGAAGGAGUUCUCCAAAGAGCUGGCAGAAGGUUCCCUUGUCCCGCACAACUCAGAGCCAACUUCUUUGGAAAAGGGCCCUCUGGGAUCAGAGUUCCUGCGUGACAUAACAGCGUUACCGAAGGAUCAUGUUGAGCGUUGAGCUGCUGCUGUCCAAUAAAUGUCAUGUAAUGGAGCAGUUAUUGGAUUGCUGGUUGUAGGUAGUGCGGUCAGCAGGGAGAGUGGGCUGCUUGUGGUGCUAAUAAAGCAGUCAUAUCCACACUCACUGACUAGUCUAAUUGACAGACUCAUGAGGGGAGAACUGCUAAUUGAUUACAGGCUUGUCCUGUUCCAACUCCCCAGGGGAGUGCUGGGUAAUGGACUUCAAGGUCUUGUUCUUGAGUUUAUCUUGUUGACAAGUUUUGGCUGAAUGUUUCCUUAAGUUCUUACAAAAAACAAAAUAAGGCAGAUCUUAUGAGAUUUUUUCAGGAGUUUUUUUUUUUAGUAAUCCCAACAUGUUUUAUUUUAAAAUCUAGUUGAAUUUAAUUAACCAGCAAAAUCUCUCUAAAUUGGUCACCACAAUGCUUGUUGAAAAGCUAAAAGUUGUUUAGGUUACUGUUACUACUUAGAAAUUAACAUUAAAGACAAGAAAGUUUAAAGAUCCAUUCAAUCAAAAUUAUGUUUUUAACAUUUUUAUGUAGCAUAAUGGAAAAUAUAGUCAAAUAAUUAAAGAUUAAAACAGUGUUUCUGAGUAUUUCUUUUUUCAAAUCAUGUUGGAUUAGGAACAGAUGAAAAUACACUGUUUGAAAAAAGCUCUGGUUGUGAUGCAGCCUCCUCACCCCUCAUGUACUUUACCUGUAGCUCCAAUACUGCCUGUUUUUUUGUUUUCUUUUUUCGCAACGCAAAUGUUAGCUUGGGGCUAUUAGCUAGCACAGGAGCGCGCUAACAGAACUCUCAGCAGGUUGUUUGGGUAUGUUUAAGAUUUUAAUGGAACCAAAUGAGUGUUUAUAUUUGAGAGUAUGCGUGUGCAAAGUCAUAUGUGUGUUUAUGGGUAUCUGAACUGAAUGUGUGUUCAUUAGAGAGGGAACAGGACUACAGUAGAUAGUGGGGCCACUGGGUGUAACAAAAUUGGACAUUGGGGUGAGAACUUAUAAAGCUUUUACUUCUUCUAACUGCCUAUUUAUUGUACAAUUGGAAAAAAAUGUUGUGCAAAGUUCAGUUUCUGACAUCCCACAGAGGUUAAGAUGGUAUUCUAAAGCAAUAAACAGCUUUCUCCAAGUA